rnacentral:rRNA from 1 species
AACGAACGCUGGCGGCAUGCCUAACACAUGCAAGUCGAACGAGACCUUCGGGUCUAGUGGCGCACGGGUGCGUAACGCGUGGGAACCUGCCUUUAGGUUCGGAAUAACUCAGAGAAAUUUGAGCUAAUACCGGAUGAUGUCUUCGGACCAAAGAUUUAUCGCCUUUAGAUGGGCCCGCGUUGGAUUAGCUAGUUGGUGGGGUAAAAGCCUACCAAGGCGACGAUCCAUAGCUGGUCUGAGAGGAUGAUCAGCCACACUGGGACUGAGACACGGCCCAGACUCCUACGGGAGGCAGCAGUGGGGAAUAUUGGACAAUGGGCGAAAGCCUGAUCCAGCAAUGCCGCGUGAGUGAUGAAGGCCUUAGGGUUGUAAAGCUCUUUUACCCGAGAUGAUAAUGACAGUAUCGGGAGAAUAAGCUCCGGCUAACUCCGUG